UGGGGUUUAGUUCAGUGGAAGAACACUUGCCUACCAUGCAGAAGGCCCUGAAUUUGAUCCCCAGCACUCCAG
rnacentral:tRNA from 1 species